UACGUAGGGGGCAAGCGUUGUCCGGAAUUAUUGGGCGUAAAGAGCUCGUAGGCGGUCUGUUGCGUCCGCUGUGAAAACUCGGGGCUUAACCCCGAGCCUGCAGUGGAUACGGGCAGACUAGAGGUAGGUAGGGGAGAAUGGAAUUCCCGGUGUAGCGGUGAAAUGCGCAGAUAUCGGGAGGAACACCGGUGGCGAAGGCGGGUCUCUGGGCCGAUACUGACGCUGAGAAGCGAAAGCGUGGGGAGCGAACAGG
rnacentral:rRNA from 1 species